rnacentral:rRNA from 1 species
CAGCCGCCGCGGUAAUACCGGCGGCCCGAGUGGCGGCUACUAUUAUUGGGCCUAAAGCGUCCGUAGCCGGGCUGGUAAGUCCUCCGGGAAAUCUGGUCGCUUAACGAUCAGACUUCCGGAGGAUACUGCUGGCCUAGGGACCGGGAGAGGCCGAGGGUAUUCCCGGGGUAGGGGUGAAAUCCUGUAAUCCCGGGAGGGCCACCUGUGGCGAAGGCGCUCGGCUGGAACGCGUCCGACGGUGAGGGACGAAGGCCAGGGGAGCAAACCGGAUUAGAUACCCGGGUAGUCCUGGCUGUAAACGAUGCGGACUUUGUGUCGGACAAGCUAUGAGCUUGUCCGGUGCCGGAGGGAAACCGUUAAGUCCGCCGCCUGGGGAGUACGGCCGCAAGGUUGAAACUUAAAGGAAUUGGCGGG